GCUGGUGUAAAUGAUGACCUCACUUUUUUCCCCGUCAUAUCGACAGUGCUGAUGUUUUAAAACAUUUGCCAGUUUGUCCUGAUAAACACCAGC
ensembl:snoRNA Gm25878 small nucleolar SNORD12/SNORD106